UUUUACGUUGAAACAUUUAAAAAGCGGUUGUAUUUUUUUAAAAGGAAUUGUAUCGUCGUAUGAUCAGUAUAGAGAUAUUGAAAAUUAACGGUUUUGCUCAACACAAACAUGAUCUUGAAUAUUUGUCUUCUAAUUAAUAUCUUGGUAAAAACAUUAGUGGUCAGCUCUUUUGUGCCAUUAAUAUACUUCACCGAUGGACUCAAUACUAAGUUAUAUCAUUCAGAAUAUAAAUUAUUGAACAGGAAAAUGGGUGCGUACCCAUUCGUCGAAGUCGGUCCGGGGUCCUUCAAGACACAGCACAAAAAAUUAGAUCCAGAAAUUUUAACACAGCGAUAUAAAAAGUUACUCACUAUCAAGAAAAACAUGGAAAAGAAAUCAUAACUUAGGUUUCAAGGCUAUCAGAUAGAUUUUAAUGUUUGUUUUAAUGUUAUUAGAAUUCGAUAAAUAUUAAAAUUAAUUAAAGUAUCGCUCAUUUUCCGUAAGACAAGGUUUUAUAAAUCUAUUUUAAUUAUAUUGUUAUUGUUUUUAAAGCAGUCUUCUUGCAGAUAAAACUAACGGUUUUGUUUUAUAAUAAAAUUUUGUCAGUCACAAAGAU